rnacentral:lncRNA from 1 species
CGGUCAUCCACACGAGUCGUGUAGCUUGGUCCAACAUUGGCUGGACAGGCGUCACAAUUUCCUAUCGUCCUCCUAUUAUUUUUAUUUUUAUAUUUUUUCAUCUUCACCCAACCUCAUCUCCAUUUUCACACGCCAUUACACAGACAACCAUCUCCUCAUCCAUUUUCACACGUAAAAGAACUAGCCAAUAUUUUUAUCCAAAAAUUUAGGAAAAUCGAAUGUCUAAAGCAUCACCUCAGGCGUGGUUGAAGCAAAAGAAAAACAACUGUCCGUGAAGCUAAUUGCUCCAACAACGGUUGCGGCUCAAAUUCCGGUCCACCAAGUUUUGUCUCCGCGCAGCGUGGAGCUCCGUGAGGUCUCCGAGCAGUUGCCUCCACGGAGCGCGGAUCUUGACUUCGACCCGGAAUGUAAUCUUUGGCGUAUUGUUCUGCUGGUGUUCCUCCUACUGCCGGCCCUAGGGCCUAAAAAAAAAAAGGUGAAAUUUUUUUUAUAUUGGAAUUGAUCUCUCGCAGAAUUGAUCGCAUCUUCCUCUCCUAAUCAAUCACCUCUUCUUUGUUCUUCCAGUCAAUCUCAAACAAUCGAGGCGGUGAUAGGGCAGGCUCGCCAUUUUUAUUUGCCAGGAGUAAGAUCAAUUGAGCAAGUAGGAAUGACAGGGGAUAGCCCAAUUUUUUAUCUCCCAACUGUGUUUCUGCUUCUCCUUAUAGCUUAUUCACUUCUCAUUUUGUGUUGAUUUUACUUUUUUACUGCUUCAUAUUUGUACACUUCUAAUAAUGUUUGGUGUGCUAGCUAAUUAUUUUCAACAAAUUACAAAUUACACUUAUAAUGAAUGUUUGAAUGGGACAAGCGAAUCAUGAAGUAAAGUUGUUCGAUUAAAUGCUUCAGUAAGGCCAUUGUUUAUUUAGUUUCCAGCUGGAGGGUUCUACAUGGCGUGGCUAAUCAUCAUCGUAUUAUUAAUUGUACUUUGGGUGCAAAUUUUGUUGUGGAUUCCAAAGCUGCAUUCUUAAAUGAUGGUAAUGAAUCAUGUUUGUGUAUAUCUCUGUAAAUAUGGUUAGGGAUGUUUUAAAUAAGUUUUUUCAAGAUUAUUUUGUGUUGUUUGCUGCUAGGAAUGGUUUUCCGAUAGAGAAAUGUGUUGCUGGUUAUUGCGCACCCUGAUGAUGAGUCUGGGUAGGUUUGAAUUCCAAAAUUUUAUGUUUUACUCCGGUCUGCAUUAAUAAUAGAGCUUUGCUGCCUGGGUUUAUGAAUAUCAAAGACCUACUUUAUUUUAUUAAGUUAUUUAUUUUGUUUCUUGGGAUUUGUACUUUGCUGCAGUGGUGAAUUCUCAUUAAAACAAUAGUAAUGUAUGAUGAAUUCCAGUUAACUUAGAGUGAUAUUGGAAAUUGAAGUUAUAUUUUGUAGCACUUCCAAGGUUUUCAAAUAUAGCUGUGGUUUAAACUUAAAUAUUUAAGUAUUUCUACUUGUUAUAAAUUUAAAAAGAAAAAAAUUAAGGCCUCAUAAUAAUUAAUCGCUUAGGCCUCAAAAUUCUCAGGGCCGACCCUGCUUCUACACUUCAUUCUCCAAUUCACAAAGUUUCCGCAAUCACUUACUCUAUUCCACAGUUAAAGUUUAUUUCUUAUAUUUUUAUCUAUCAUUUUGAGGGGUUGAGAUUGUGGGUUUUGGUUUUUUUGUGAGAUUGAUUGAAUCGAACACGUUUGUAAACUAAUGCCUCUAUCUUUGUUUGUGGAAAAAAAAAGAAGAAUGUUAUUUUGGGAAUGGAACUUCACAAAUUGGGAUUUUGUUCAUGCCAAGCAAUUUAUUUCCUUACUUUGCAUCUAUAUAGAAUUUUCAAUUUCCCUGUAUAUUAAUGGAAUAGGUGUAUGCUUAUCAGGAAGAGACACGCAAGUAACGUGCGAGGAAUUUGAUAUCUUUUGGUCAAACCAUUGCUUUGUAAAGGGUUCAUCCCUUGCUAAAUCUGUGUGGGUUUAGGGGUUUUCCUUUUAAAAGGCGUGUUAGUGCUUUUGGUUUUUUGACAGUUGGAAGAUUGGUUCUUCUCAAGUUCAAUCGAAACUCAUUUGUUUUCAUCUAGCAAAUCAUUCUUUGAGAGACCAUAGCAAAUAUCGAUUUUGAUACUUUGCGACAAAACAUCUUCCUCAAUAAAAGCACUCAACAAGUAUAUUGUUUUCUCAAUAUUGCCUUUGGUCUUAGUUCUUAAUGCUAAAUAAAGGGCUCAUGGAGAGUUAAUGAGUUGAGUUUGUGGCCAAAAUUGAUGAAUAUUGACGUCUUGCUAAAAUAGACUUUCUUAAGAACUAGCAAGUAGGAAAAGGACAAGAAAUUAGUGUGAGAAUACUCAAUUUCCUAAAUCUUCCAUUUGAACCUGACUUGAUUAUUAGAAGUUUCUUGUCAUCCUCUCAUUAGUUUACCGUCUAGUAGUUUGUCAGCACCAAAGAAAGGGGAUCCGGGAAGCCUAGUCCAAUGACAUGACCACUUAGGUCUACGUUGCCACGAUAUUGUUCUAUGGAAGCGUCAGUUUUUUGGUCUGACUCAAGUGCAAUUUCUUGCCCGUCAGCCCUAACAACGAAGAGGAAAAGGAAAACAGAACAACAGUUAUAUUGUUUGGUACAUGCUAUGUUAUUGGUUCUAUUUCAUAGCAUGUGAUAGUGCCAUUUUAGUUAAGUUUUACAUGAUGACAUUAGUCACAGAUAUUGUUUCAUCUUAAUUUGAGGCAACCAAAGCUCAAGUAGCAAUUGAAGACGAGCCAUUUUUUGGAUGAAAAUUAUUUUUGAAUGAGAGAAAAAUACAAAAUUGGAAUUACAGUUUCAAUUUUUCAUCUAUAAACUCUUAUUGUUAUGCUUCAAAAAUCUUGUGUCCAGUUUUGGUUUCUAUAUUUGAUCAGAAAGUUUUACCAAUAAUAAUAGCUAUGAUUGUAAUUAUUAUUAGCAUAAUGAUGUUGAUAUUCAUAGAUAAGAUCUAAGAUUCUUGUCAUCAAUUGGAAAGUUAAGGAUUUUACCAACUUUGUGAGUAUUUGUAAUCUCUAUUUCAUCUUCUGGUAUAGAUAAUUGAUAUUGUUGUUAUUUUCACUCAUGAUAACAAUCUCAAGCCAACACCCUAUUCCUUUUUAGGUAUAGUUCAGAGCUUAAUGUUCUCUAGAUUCAAGUGCCCGGGUAACACUGAUCAAGGAUAAGAAGAAAUAUGGUAUGAUCCCUUCUUGAUUUUUGUCAUUAGCAAUAUAAAUUAGAUGAAAAGUGGUAAUAUUGGGAAUUUUAUCCUUCUGCAAAUAACCAAGGACUUUUGCAAUGAUAAAAAUGUUAUUUUAACUGGGAUUGAUCCCCAUCAGAUUUUCUUAAGUUUCCUGUAUCAUAUUACCUUUGCAUAUUUAAUUAUAUAGUCAGAAGCAUGUCUGGGAAGUGUUUAUCAUUGUUUAACUUGUUAUCCAUUUUGUUCAUCAUUCCUGGUGCAAGCCAUUUAACUAUUCUCACUUGCCAAUCAGAUUUUGUGAUUUUGCAGGAUUGAACUUGUGGUUCAUUCUGUACAAAUUUUAGUUGCUGUAGCUGUAUAUUAUAGGCAGAAGGGAUAUUUCACGGGAGCCAUGAUUUUACUAUCAAAUUGUUAGAGCUACUUGAAAGUUAAGAAAUAUUGCUCAAGGUUUAACUUCUUACAAGCUUGUUCCAAGCUACAUUAACGAUGUUAAAAUUGCUAAUGGUUCAGUAUUUGAAGAGUGUGUUUCUUUGUGCUGUGUUUACUACUGGAAUUAAAAAGAGUGAAAAGGAAGGUGAUUAAUUGAGAUUCAGGCUUNUUCGGUAGUGAAAUUGGUCCUUUGACUUGAGGUCGUCAUGGUACCUUAUAUGAGGACAGUCAUACUUUGGCGGUGUUGGAUGUUGCUCUGAAAAGGGCCGCUAAUACGACAUCGUUCGGGUACGUCAAGAAUCGUAUGAAGGUUGUGAUUGAUCAAUAAAGGAUUCGUCACUCUUAGAUAGUAGGAGAUUAUGAUCUGCGUUUCAUCCAAUUAAGUCAAUGAUCAAAUCCUUGGCCAAGGUGUACUCAUAAGUCGAAAAGGAGUUUUCGAUUUAUAUUGACUUAAUAGUGGAGUGAAAGAUAUGAUCGAUGAUCGAGAUUGACACAACUCCAUAUCUCGUAAUUGAUCGGAUCAUAUUGACGAAGGGAUUAUAGUUUCACGGUAAACGAACGAAUUUGGUUUUGUCAUACCACGUGACAUUUCCCGUCACAUGUAUUGCCCUGACACAUUGCUAGAUGUCAAUCAGGGACGGCGAAUGUGAAUUGACGAUAAAUUAAAAGGGUGUUUUAAUUUAUCAAUUUUGAUUAGAUCAAAAUAAUAUUUCACGUCGUUAGGCAUCGUGGUCGGGAACCUAAUGGGUCACACACAAAAGAGAAUUGGAAGAUUGCAAAUUGCCAAUUG